rnacentral:rRNA from 1 species
CCUACGGGUGGCAGCAGUGAGGAAUAUUGGUCAAUGGGCGGAAGCCUGAACCAGCCAUGCCGCGUGCGGGAAGAAGGCUCUAUGGUUUGUAAACCGCUUUUGUAAGGGAGUAAAGUUCGGUACGUGUCUUGCGCUGCAUGUACCGUACGAAUAAGGAUCGGCUAACUCCGUGCCAGCAGCCGCGGUAAUACGGAGGGACCGAGCGUUAUCCGGAUUGAUUGGGUUUAAAGGGUGCGGAGGCGGUUUGGUAAGUCAGGGGUGAAAUGACCGAGCUUAACCCCGGGACUGCCUUUGAAACUGUCGGUCUCGAGUGGAGGAGGGGUAGGCGGAAU